ACUCACUCUCUCACUCACUCACUCUCUCACUCACUCACUCUCUCACUCACUCACUCUCUCACUCACUCACUCUCUCACUCACUCACUCACACACACACACACACACACACACUGAUUCUACUGUAUCAGGACGGACUGACAGAUUGACGGCAGUAUAAUGAUUCACUCCAAUCAGUCCAUUCACUCCAUCUUCUGCUGCUGCUGCUGUGCUCUACAGACCAGAAGCAGCACUCAUGUGGAUGUGAACCCCAGCAGAUAUCCGGGAUCCGUCUACACGGUAUACAGUCAUCUGUUCGUUCAUUCAGUGAUUCACUUGUUGAUUCUGUGCUCCUGUAAUGGUUCUCUCCUCACGUCUCAGACUCAGCUGUCCCAGAAGAAGCUUCCUCCGUCUCCUCCUGAGGAUGAUGAUAGCGGCGGUGCUGAUGUCUGCAAUUCUCUCUCUCAGGAACAAGGGCUUCAUUCCCAGUAACUAUGUUACAGA
rnacentral:lncRNA from 1 species